CAGAGUUCGUGCCCUCACGGGUAGAUCUCCCACCCUGUGUUAUUAUACCUUUGUUGCUUUGGCGGGCCGCCCUCGGCUACCGGCCCCGGCUGGUACGCGCCCGCCAGAGGACCACUUAACCCUGCUCACGGUGACGUCUGAGUAUUUUACAAAUGAAUCA
rnacentral:misc_RNA from 1 species